UUUUAUCCCCAUAAUAAUAUAUUUUAUAACUUCUGUUUAGAAUAUUGGCAGAUAAUAAAACUUGAUUGCCUGAUUUUCAAUUUAAACACUUAUCAAUCAAAUACAUAAGUACUUGUUCAGGGUAGAGAAAAGUUAAUACUUUAUAUUAUCUAUGUAACUCUGAAAGACAAGAAAGUUUCUGUACAUUUACGGACUACAAAUAUAGAAGUUAAAGGAAAUGCCUUCUAGCUGGCGUAAUCUUAGGAAAAAAAGCAGACUGAAGUAUUAUAAAUUGUUAGCAGAAGAUGUGUAAAGAUAUGAUCACCUAGAUAAUAUAAAUCAAUUUUCUAUUCUUGUGCUGAAGCCUAGACCCCACACGGCAGCCUGAUGUAAUUCCAUUAACAUGCUUAAUUACUUGGCACUUGUAUAGCCUUUUUAUUUUUACUGUUAUCCUGGUAAAUCAUUCAGAAGAAAUAAAUUAGCUUGCCACUCAAAAUUAACUACUAUGGUGCAUUGCUGCCCCACCCCCCAAAAGAUGAGUUGACAGCUACUGGGCGUUAAUCUAGCCAUUUUUUGAUAACAGAGUAUCUCUUUGCGCAUAGUUAUGAUGAGAGGUAUAAACAUUCCAAAUGUAAUUAUCUCAGUCCUUUACAACUUGAAAGUCUAAUUAAAGAAAGUUUAAGACACUAUAAAUCUUAAGGAAUUAGGUUUACGAUGUGGAACCCAGUCAGUCAGAGCUUGGGAUUACAUUGGAAAGUGAGUAUAUUGAAAAGGAUUGCAGAAACAUUUCUCUCAGCCAGAAUUUAAUUGCUCAGAAAACUGAAUUUCAGUAAAGUAGAUGAAAAGUGGUAGGCAGAGAGACUCAGACCUAUGACUGCUGAAGAAAGAGCUAAUUCCAUGUCCCUUUUUCUAGAUGCCCUGUAAUACACUUGUGUCAGUGAUAAAUGCUGCUUUGCUGUGCUACACCGAGUACAAGGUAGUGAUAAGACAUGACUGGGAAGCAGUUACCAGAGACAAGCAAGGAUAGGGCUUUGAAUGCAUCCUCUGCUGGUGGCUUCUGUAGUUAUGCAUAAAAUUUACUCUGACCUGUUUACUUUUAUAGCCUGUCUUUACUUUGUUUCUUUUAAUAUUAUACAUGUUUAGGCUAUGCUUUUUCUUUAAAUAUGUGAGCAAAUCUAUUGGUGUAAUGUACUCAUUACCCUAAAACCUAUAUUAUAAUGGACCCGAAUACCAUAAGGUAGAAGAUCAGAAGAAAAAGAAAAUGCAUACAUUUUUAUCUUUAAAACAAUUCACUUUUAAGAUUAUUUUCUUGAAAGGUAUACGUUUGAUGGAGCUGAAUCUAGUUCCUUCAGGCAGAUAUAAUAGGAUACAAUAGGAUAGGACUUCUUGGGUAAAAAAGGUGUAGUAAUCUGUGAGACUCAUGGGAAGGAGAAAGGAAAUUAUUAAUUAAUUUGGCUGAGGCCAGGGUAGUAAGCAGAUUCAUUAUAAAUUCUGGCAGCAGAGGAAUACUUGAGAAAUGCUUAUAAAGUUAGAUCAUCUAUUUUUCCAAGCAAAUUCUUCAUGUCAUUCCACCUUGUAAAAACUUUGUGGAAAAGAAUAAGCACAUGAAUGAGCAAUGAAUAGACUUUGCAUUAGAUUGGUAAUCUUGCUACUAGUACAUUAAUUUACUUGUAUUACUGAUAUUUUAAGAUAGGAUUUUUACAGAUGUUUAUAUAUUUUUUAAAAGCCUAUUUUUUUCUUUACCCAUUUUCUCAAUUUUUUUAACCUCGAAAACUUUUUCCUCCCUGAGAGAAAUACAUGGGCUAUCUUCAGCAUAGAACACAAACUCUGCCUUCUUUUCUCAAGUCCAGUGAUUCAAGUUUGACACACCACACCACGGUGGAUGUGCCUUGUCAUGACACAUCUCAGCAGCACUAGAAGAUACAUCCAAAGUCCUGUGAGCAAGGUCUGUGGUAUCUGUUUAUUAUGGCAGCCCAGUAAGACUAAGACAGGCCAUCACAAGACGUGAACGUUUUGGACCUUCUCUUGGGCCCUAGUAAACAGAAAUCAGAAGGAAGAAAACUUUGCUAAUGCUCUGCCAAGCCUCACUUUUCUCUCAUGAUUAGAAGGUUUGAUGUUAUCCAGAAUUACUCAUGGAAGAUGGAAGAGCUGCAGCAUUACAAUGAAAGCCAUCUUACAACAGCCUGAGCUAUUUAUUAAACUAAUCCACGUUCUGAACAGUUAUUGCUACUGGAAACCAGUCCCGAUCCAGACCACAAAAGACGAUUCUUGGAUCUUGCACAAGAAAGAAAGGGAAGAUCUGGCAAGAGUUAGCGUGCAGUUCUACAUUGUGACAAUUCAUGAGAGCUAAGGACUGGCUGUCUCUUGGGACAAAUAGGCUUUCUUGAGUCUGCAUGAGGCCCUCACCAGAUACAGCCACCUGAUCUUGGACUUCACAGCCUCCAGAAAUAUGCCCUGGAAUACACUUGUGUCAGUGACAAAUGCUGCUUUGCUGUGCUACAUCGAGUACAAGAGAAAUACAUGGGCUAUCUUCAGCACAGAACACAAACUCUGCCUUCUUUUCUCAAGUCCAGUGAUUCAAGUUUGACACACCACACCACGGUGGAUGUGCCUUGUCAUGACACAUCUUCUCAGCAGCACUAGAAGAUACAUCCAAAGUCCUGUGAGCAAGGACACAGCGAGAAGAUGGCUGUCUACAAGCCAGGAAGAGAGUCCUCACCAGAACCAAACCCUGCUGGACUUUGAUCUUGGACUUCCCAGCCUCUAAAACUGUGAAGACAUAAAUUUCUGUUGUUAAACCCACACAGGUCUGUGGUAUCUGUUUAUUAUGGCAGCCCAGUAAGACUAAGACAGGCCAUCACAAGACAUGAAUGUUUUGGACCUUCUCUUGGGCCCUAGUAAACAGAAAUCAGGUACGCAAAAGGGGUAAGCAUAUAAUUUCCUUUAUUUUUAUUUUUAAUGUGUAAGCCUUAGGUUUUUAUUUAUUUAUUUGGUGAAGACAAUCACAUUGUGUACGUACAAUGUAAUUAUAUUGUUGACGAGAAGUUACUUAAAAUUUUUUAAAAAUUCUAAUCGAUUUCUAGAUGUCCAAAUGAGAAGAUAGCAUUUAUAUACCAUCAGAACAUAAAAUAAUUCAAAAAAAUAAAUUUAUAAAACAAUAUGUAUUAUAUUGAGAGAAAGAGAGGGAGAGAGUAUUGGAAGAAUAUAUGCAAAUACAAUGUGAUAAUGUGAUGUCUUUGUGAGAAUGCUAUAUGUCAUUUUCUUUGUUUAUAUGAAUUUUUACAAUUUUUACCUUUGAAAUAUAAAAAAGAGAGAAUAAAAGUCAUUGAAAAAAUCAAAAGUAACUAUUUUCAUAGGUGAGUAAGUAUACAUCUUUAACAGAAC
rnacentral:lncRNA from 10 species